rnacentral:rRNA from 1 species
GGGUUGUGAGGUUAAGCGAAUAAGCGUACACGGUGGAUGCCUAGGCAAUCAGAGGCGAUGAAGGACGUGCUAAUCUGCGAAAAGCGUCGGUAAGGUGAUAUGAACCGUUAUACCCGACGAUAUCCGAAUGGGGAAACCCAGUAUCCAAUGGAUACUAUCAUUAACUGAAUCCAUAGGUUAAUGAGGCGAACCGGGAGAACUGAAACAUCUCAGUACCCCGAGGAAAAGAAAUCAACCGAGAUUCCCCUAGUAGCGGCGAGCGAACGGGGAGCAGCCCAGAGUCUUAAUCAAUAGCAGUGUCAGGAGAACGGUCUGGAAAGUCCGGCAGUAAAGGGUGAUAGCCCCGUAUCUGAAGAUGCUGUUAUUGUGAACUCGACGAGUAGGGCGGGACACGUGUUAUCCUGUCUGAAUAUGGGGGGACCAUCCUCCAAGGCUAAAUACUCCUGAUUGACCGAUAGUGAACCAGUACCGUGAGGGAAAGGCGAAAAGAACCCCGGCGAGGGAGUGAAAAGAACCUGAAACCGUGUACGUACAAGCAGUAGGAGCCUCUUUAUGGGGUGACUGCGUACCUUUUGUAUAAUGGGUCAGCGACUUAUAUUCUGUAGCGAGGUUAACCGUAUAGGGGAGCCGUAGGGAAACCGAGUCUUAACUGGGCGAAUGAGUUGCAGGGUAUAGACCCGAAACCCGGUGAUCUAUCCAUGGGCAGGUUGAAGGUUGGGUAACACUAACUGGAGGACCGAACCGACUAAUGUUGAAAAAUUAGCGGAUGACUUGUGGAUAGGGGUGAAAGGCCAAUCAAACCGGGAGAUAGCUGGUUCUCCCCGAAAGCUAUUUAGGUAGCGCCUCGUGAACUCAUCUUCGGGGGUAGAGCACUGUUUCGACUAGGGGGUCAUCCCGACUUACCAACUCGAUGCAAACUGCGAAUACCGAAGAAUGUUAUCACGGGAGACACACGGCGGGUGCUAACGUCCGUCGUGAAGAGAAACAACCCAGACCGCCAGCUAAGGUCCCAAAGUCAUGGUUAAGUGGGAAACGAAGUGGGAAGGCUCAGACAGCCAGGAUGUUGGCUUAGAAGCAGCCAUCAUUUAAAGAAAGCGUAAUAGCUCACUGGUCGAGUCGGCCCGCGCGGAAGAUGUAACGGGGCUAAACCAUGCACCGAAGCUGCGGCAGCGACACGUAGUGUUGUUGGGUAGGGGAGCGUUCUGUAAGCCUGCGAAGGUGUACUGUGAGGUAUGCUGGAGGUAUCAGAAGUGCGAAUGCUGACAUAAGUAACGAUAAUGCGGGUGAAAAACCCGCACGCCGGAAGACCAAGGGUUCCUGUCCAACGUUAAUCGGGGCAGGGUGAGUCGACCCCUAAGGCGAGGCUGAAAAGCGUAGUCGAUGGGAAACGGGUUAAUAUUCCCGUACUGGUGGUAACUGCGAUGGGGGAACGGAGAAGGCUAGGUUGUCCGGGCGACGGUCGUCCCGGUUCAAGCAGGUAGGCAGAGUGAUUAGGCAAAUCCGGUCACUUAAUGCUGAGAUGUGAUGACGAACCACCAAGGUGGUGAAGCAAUUGAUGCCCCGCUUCCAGGAAAAGCCUCUAAGCUUCAGGUUACCAACAAUCGUACCCCAAACCGACACAGGUGGUCAGGUAGAGAAUACUCAGGCGCUUGAGAGAACUCGGGUGAAGGAACUAGGCAAAAUGGUGCCGUAACUUCGGGAGAAGGCACGCUGGCGGUAGGUAAAGUCCCUCGCGGACGGCGCCCAAGCCAGUCGAAGAUACCAGCUGGCUGCAACUGUUUAUUAAAAACACAGCACUGUGCAAACACGAAAGUGGACGUAUACGGUGUGACGCCUGCCCGGUGCUGGAAGGUUAAUUGAUGGGGUCAGCCGCAAGGCGAAGCUCCUGAUCGAAGCCCCAGUAAACGGCGGCCGUAACUAUAACGGUCCUAAGGUAGCGAAAUUCCUUGUCGGGUAAGUUCCGACCUGCACGAAUGGCGUAAUGAUGGCCAGGCUGUCUCCACCCGAGACUCAGUGAAAUUGAACUCGCUGUGAAGAUGCAGUGUACCCGCGGCAAGACGGAAAGACCCCGUGAACCUUUACUAUAGCUUGACACUGAACAUUGAGCCUUGAUGUGUAGGAUAGGUGGGAGGCUUUGAAGUGUGGACGCCAGUCUGCAUGGAGCCAACCUUGAAAUACCACCCUUUAACGUUUGAUGUUCUAACCUAGGCCCAUAAACUGGGUCGGGGACCGUGUCUGGUGGGUAGUUUGACUGGGGCGGUCUCCUCCUAAAGAGUAACGGAGGAGCACGAAGGUUGGCUAAGCAUGGUCGGACAUCAUGCGGUUAGUGCAAAGGCAUAAGCCAGCUUGACUGCGAGUGACGGCUCGAGCAGGUACGAAAGUAGGUCUUAGUGAUCCGGUGGUUCUGAAUGGAAGGGCCAUCGCUCAACGGAUAAAAGGUACUCCGGGGAUAACAGGCUGAUACCGCCCAAGAGUUCAUAUCGACGGCGGUGUUUGGCACCUCGAUGUCGGCUCAUCACAUCCUGGGGCUGAAGUAGGUCCCAAGGGUAUGGCUGUUCGCCAUUUAAAGUGGUACGCGAGCUGGGUUUAGAACGUCGUGAGACAGUUCGGUCCCUAUCUGCCGUGGGCGUUGGAAGAUUGAGAGGGGUUGCUCCUAGUACGAGAGGACCGGAGUGAACGCACCACUGGUGUUCGGGUUGUCAUGCCAAUGGCAUUGCCCGGUAGCUAAGUGCGGAAGAGAUAACCGCUGAAAGCAUCUAAGCGGGAAACUUGCCUCGAGAUGAGUCUUCCCUGUCACUUUAAGUGACCUAAAGGAACGUUUAAGACUAAGACGUUGAUAGGCUGGGUGUGUAAGCGUAGCGAUACGUUGAGCUAACCAGUACUAAUGAACCGUGAGGCUUAACCUGACAACACCGAAAGUGUUUUG